rnacentral:rRNA from 1 species
UACGGAGGAUGCGAGCGUUGUCCGGAAUCAUUGGGCGUAAAGGGCGCGUAGGUGGCUUCUUAAGCGUGCGGUGAAAGCCUGGGGCUCAACCCCGGGUCGGCCGUGCGAACUGGGGGGCUGGAGCACUGUAGAGGCAGGCGGAAUUCCGGGUGUAGCGGUGGAAUGCGUAGAGAUCCGGAAGAACACCGGUGGCGAAGGCGGCCUGCUGGGCAGUUGCUGACACUGAGGCGCGACAGCGUGGGGAGCAAACAGG